rnacentral:rRNA from 1 species
UACGAAGGGGGCUAGCGUUGCUCGGAAUUACUGGGCGUAAAGCGCGCGCAGGCGGCCCGCGAGGUGUCACGUGAAAGCCCCGGGCUCAACCCGGGAGGGUCGUGGCAAACCGGCGGGCUUGAGGCCGGUAGAGGUGGGUGGAACUCCUGGUGGAGUGGUGAAAUGCGUAGAGAUCAGGAAGAACACCCGUGGCGAAGGCGGCCCACUGGGCCGGUACUGACGCUGAGGCGCGAAGGCGUGGGGAGCGAACGGG